rnacentral:tRNA from 1 species
AAUGAAGUGCCUGAAAAAGGAUUAUCUUGAUAGGAUAAAUAAUGUAGAUUUAUAGUUUUACCUUUAUUA